rnacentral:rRNA from 1 species
CGUAGGGUGCAAGCGUUAAUCGGAAUACUGGGCGUAAAGCGUGCGCAGGCGGUUAUGUAAGACAGAGGUGAAAUCCCCGGGCUCAACCUGGGAACUGCCUUUGUGACUGCAUAGCUAGAGUACGGCAGAGGGGGAUGGAAUUCCGCGUGUAGCAGUGAAACGCGUAGAUAUGCGGAGGAACACCGAUGGCGAAGGCAAUCCCCUGGACCUGUACUGACGCUCAUGCACGAAAGCGUGGGGAGCAAACAGGAUUAGAUACCCUGGUAGUCCACGCCCUAAACGAUGUCAACUGGUUGUUGGGUCUUUACUGACUCAGUAACGAAGCUAACGCGUGAAGUUGACCGCCUGGGGAGUACGGCCGCAAGGUUG